AGCAGCCGCGGUAAUUCCAGCUCCAAUAGCGUAUAUUAAAGUUGCUGCAGUUAAAAAGCUCGUAGUUGAAUUUCGGGACCAUCAUGUCGGUCGUACCUCGGUACGUACUGGCAUUAUUGAUUUCUCCCUUCUGAAGAACCUUGAUGUCAUUAAUUUGGUGUCUUGGGGAAUCAGGACCGUUACUUUGAAAAAAUUAGAGUGUUUAAAGCAGGCUCACGCUUGAAUACAUUAGCAUGGAAUAAUGAAAUAGGACGUUUGAUUCUAUUUUGUUGGUUUCUAGGAUCGACGUAAUGAUUAAUAGGGAUAGUUGGGGGCAUUAGUAUUCAAUUGUCAGAGGUGAAAUUCUUGGAUUUAUUGAAGACUAACUACUGCGAAAGCACUUGCCAAGGAUGUUUUCAUUAAUCAAGAACGAAAGUUAGGGGAUCGAAGACGAUCAGAUACCGUCGUAGUCUUAACCAUAAACUAUGCCGACUAGGGAUCGGAUGAUGUUAAUUUUUAAUGACUCAUUCGGCGCCUUACG
rnacentral:rRNA from 1 species